rnacentral:rRNA from 1 species
AUGGAAGCACCACCUGUCAACUCCAAGCUUCUUCAUGAACUCGAAUUGAGAUAUCACCGAAACACCAUGGCCAGGGAAUUUGUGCCAUCCUCCCAAGGCCAGUUCUUUGUAGGUGCACCAAAAGGAUCUCCUCCAGUACCCUGAAACAUAUGCCAGAAUGCCACACUGAACCGCAACCUAACCGGCAGCACAAAACAAAUAUAUAAUCCUAGUGCAGCACAUAAUGUAGAAGUAAAUUAA